rnacentral:rRNA from 1 species
CAAUAGCGUAUAUUAAAGCUGCUGCAGUUAAAAAGCUCGUAGUUGGAUCUCAGGCAAGGAUCCGGUGGUUCACCGUACGGUGUUUCUGCUGGUUUCCGCCUAAUCAGCUGUAUGUUAUUUGUAGUGCUCUUCACCGGGUGCUAUAGAUGCUCAGCACGUUUACUUUGAACAAAUUAGAGUGCUCAAAGCAGGCCUUGUGCUUGAAUACUUAUGCAUGGAAUAAUGGAAUAGGACUUCGUUUCUAUUUUGUUGGUUUUCGGAUACGAAGUAAUGAUUAAAAGAGACAGACGGGGGCAUCUGUAUGGCGGUGUUAGAGGUGAAAUUCUGUGAUCGCCGCCAGACAAACAACUGCGAAAGCAUUUGCCAAGGAUGUUUUCAUUAAUCAAGAACGAAAGUCAGAGGUU